CUACGGGAGGCACCAGUGGGGAAUCUUAGACAAUGGGGGAAACCCUGAUCUAGCCAUGCCGCGUGAGCGACGACGGCCCUAGGGUUGUAAAGCUCUUUCAGCAGGGAAGAUAAUGACGGUACCUGCAGAAGAAGUCCCGGCUAACACCGUGCCAGCAGCCGCGGUAAUACGGAGGGGACUAGCGUGGUUCGGAAUUACUGGGCGUAAAGCGCGCGUAGGCGGAUUGUUAAGUCGGGGGUGAAAUCCCGGGGCUCAACCCCGGAACUGCCCUCGAUACUGGCAGUCUUGAGUUCGAGAGAGGUGAGUGGAAUUCCGAGUGUAGAGGUGAAAUUCGUAGAUAUUCGGAGGAACACCAGUGGCGAAGGCGGCUCACUGGCUCGAUACUGACGCUGAGGUGCGAAAGCGUGGGGAGCAAACAGGAUUAGAUACCCUUGUAGUC
rnacentral:rRNA from 1 species